rnacentral:rRNA from 1 species
AGAGUUUGAUCAUGGCUCAGGAUGAACGCUGGCGGCGUGCUUAACACAUGCAAGUCGAACGAAGCACUUAAGACGGAUCUUUUCGGAGUGAAGACUUUUGUGACUGAGUGGCGGACGGGUGAGUAACGCGUGGGUAACCUGCCUCAUAGAGGGGGACAACAGUUGGAAACGACUGCUAAUACCGCAUAGUAAGAAGGAUUCGCAUGUUUUCUUCUUGAAAGCUUUUGCGCUAUGAGAUGGACCCGCGUCUGAUUAGCUAGUUGGUAAGGUAACGGCUUACCAAGGCGACGAUCAGUAGCCGGCUUGAGAGAGUGAACGGCCACAUUGGGACUGAGACACGGCCCAG